UCGAGAAUCAUUCACAAUGGGCGCAAGCCUGAUGGUGCAACGCCGCGUGGAGGAUGACGGCCUUCGGGUUGUAAACUCCUGUCAUCUGGGAGUAAUCCUUGUGCGUUAAUAGCGUGCAAGGUUGAUAGUACCAGAAGAGGAAGCGCCGGCUAACUCCGUGCCAGCAGCCGCGGUAAUACGGAGGGCGCAAGCGUUGUUCGGAAUCACUGGGCGUAAAGCGUGCGUAGGCGGCGCGGUAAGUCAGAUGUGAAAUCUCUGGGCUCAACCCGGAAACUGCAUCCGAUACUGCCGUGCUGGAGUAAUGGAGGGGUAGCUGGAAUUCUCGGUGUAGCAGUGAAAUGCGUAGAUAUCGAGAGGAACACUCGUGGCGAAGGCGAGCUACUGGACAUUUACUGACGCUGAGGCACGAAGGCCAGGGUAGCGAAAGGG
rnacentral:rRNA from 1 species